rnacentral:rRNA from 1 species
UACGUAGGGUGCGAGCGUUAAUCGGAAUUACUGGGCGUAAAGCGUGCGCAGGCGGUUCGUUGUGUCGGUGGUGAAAGCCCCGGGCUCAACCUGGGAAUGGCAAUGGAUACUGGCAAGCUAGAGUGCGGUAGAGGGUAGUGGAAUUCCCGGUGUAGCGGUGAAAUGCGUAGAGAUCGGGAGGAACACCAGUGGCGAAGGCGGCUACCUGGACCAGCACUGACACUGAGGCACGAAAGCGUGGGGAGCAAACAGG